AUUGAACGCUGGCGGCAGGCCUAACACAUGCAAGUCGAGCGAGCGGCGGACGGGUGAGUAAUGCCUGGGAAUUGCCCAGUCGAGGGGGAUAACAGUUUGGAACGACUGCUAAUACCGCAUCCGGGUGGAUUGCCCCGGGUGGAGUGGCGAGUUGGUGAGGUAAUGGCUCACCAAGGCGAAGCUCCCUAGCUGGUAUGAGAGGAGGAUCAGCCACACUGGAACUGAGACACGUCCCAGACUCCUACGGGAGGCAGCAGUGGGGAAUAUUGCACAAUGGGGGAAACCCUGAUGCAGCCAUGCCGCGUGUGUGAAGAAGGCCUUCGGGUUGUAAAGCACUUUCGGCGAGGAGGCGUUACUCGCAGAAGAAGCACCGGCUAACUCCGUGCCAGCAGCCGCGGUAAUAC
rnacentral:rRNA from 1 species